GACGAACGCUGGCGGCGUGCCUAACACAUGCAAGUCGAACGGAAAGACCCUGCUUUUGUGGGGUUCUCGAUGGCGGAACGCGUGAGUAACACGUGUGUAACCUGCCCUUGUCUUUGGGGUAACAUCACGAAACUGGGGCUAAUAUCGGAUAGGAUCUCCUGCACCGUGGUGGGCGUUGGAAAGUUUCGGCGGUUGGGGAUGGACUCGCGGCUAACCGGCUUGUUGGUGGGGUAGUGGCUUACCAAGGCUUUGACGGGUAGCCGGCAUGAGAGGGGGAACGGCGUCCAUGGUCCUACGAGACGGAGCAGACUGCAACGGGAGGCAGUAGGGGGAAGUAUUGCACAGUGAGCCGAAGCCUGAUACAGAAACGCCCGGUGCGGAAAGACCGCCUUUGGGUUGUGAACAGCUUUCGCCUGUGACGAAGCGUGAGUGACGGUACUGGGUAAAGAAGCACCGGCUAACUACGUG
rnacentral:rRNA from 1 species